UACGUAGGGUGCGAGCGUUGUCCGGAAUUAUUGGGCGUAAAGAGCUUGUAGGCGGUUUGUCGCGUCUGCUGUGAAAAAUCCGGGGCUCAACCCCGGGCCUGCAGCCGAUACGGGCGGACUAGAAUUCGGUAGGGGAGACGUGGAAUUCCUGGUGUAGCGGUGAAAUGCGCAGAUAUCAGGAGGAACACCGGUGGCGAAGGCGGGUCUCUGGGCCGAUAUUGACGCUGAGGAGCGAAAGCGUGGGGGAGCGAACAGG
rnacentral:rRNA from 1 species